rnacentral:misc_RNA from 1 species
AUGAGUGGUGUCUGGCUUGUUACGGGUGGUUGGCUCUCUGCUUGCGCAACAACUUCCACCCGACAUGCCUCUUCAUUUCUCUGUUUAGGCAUCUAUUGCCUAAGCGGAUUGUGGGUUUCCUGUGUUGCAUACCUAAAUCAAGGUCGAUUGAUCAUUGUCGCUCUUCGUCUUGUGCCAUACUCAUGGCAUCAGACGAACCAUGAAGCUUUCUCUUUGAUCCACAUUGUUAAUGCGUGCAUUGAUUUUGUGGCCCAUUGAGCUUUGCUUGGUAUCUUGGAUAUAGAACCUUAUGUGGGUAUAUGGGGUCUUAUGGAUCCCUGUUCUGCCCUCAUUUAGCGUUGCGCUUCUCUAUAUGACCGCCCAGCCCGCCAAGGCUCGUACCAGCGGGUGGGCCUGUCAAAGAGGAAUGCUACCUGGUUGAUCCUGCCAGUAGUCAUAUGCUUGUCUCAAAGAUUAAGCCAUGC